UUUUAAGGCUUCGUGUCUCAUCGCGUUAAACGAUCGCAGAACGAUUUAUUUCUCUUUUUCACCUCGAUCUUUGGCCUCGUGUAAUUUACCAAAACCAACAUGUGAAGUUACAACGCUGACGAAGGAGUUUCAUCAGUAGAGUGUGUCCUGGUAAAUGUGUGCUCGGAAACAUGCAGAUUACAGUAUUUACAGAGCCGACCUUGAGGCACCCACUGAUGGAUAAUCUGUUUACCUAAAAACAGCCCACCACAAUCCAUGUUUACCAGCUGUGAAAGUGCAGGCCAAAAAUCUUCCUUCACCUGUGGGCCUCUACCCACAUGUAGAUAAGCACUUCAGGAGAAACCUGCCUGUGAUCUGCUAAGAUGCACAGAUUCAACUCUGGCCCAUUGUCAUCCCAACACCUCAUCUGCCAUCAGUUUCGUUUAGUGUCGGUCUAUUGCAAAAGUUCUUAUAAACUUUAAAUGAGACUUUGUGUUAAGCAGGGGUUUCCAAACUUUUCAUUCCACAACAUAUUAAGCUCGGGAUACA